CAAUCGGAUCUAAUCCGGGUACCUUCCUCCCCUUAACACGUGUUCUCUUCCUCAUCCUCGUCCUCAUCAAUCUCUCAAACAAAAAUUGUCUCUUCUUCUCUCUCCUUUUUCUCUGCUGCCAACAAAGAGAUUGAAAUCCUUUUUUCGCAUCAUCUCAUCUUCACAAAGAAACCAAAUUUCCAUCUCCACAAAGGAUUGACCUUGAUCUCAAGCUCUCUGUUUUUUUUUUCCUUCUCGUAUCUGUUUCCUGUACUAAUCUUGACUUUGUGAUUUAGGUGAAGUGCAGGAUCCCCAAGGGCGAUGAACUCUUGUUGCCUACGUCGGGUUUACGGUUCAACCCGACAAUGCUCGUGGACCCAUGAAAGGAGGAAUUAGAUAUCACCCCGAGGUUGAUCUCGAUGAAGUCAAUGCACUAGUUUAGCUCAUGAAUUGGAAGAUGGAUGUAGCUGACAUUCCAUACGGCGGAACAUCCGAACAUGGUGUCGUCUAUGCCACUGAAGCUCUUCUUGCUGAAUACGGAAAAUCGAUUAGGGGGUUGACAUUUGUAGUUCAAGGUUUUGAGAAUGUUGGAACAUGGCCAGCCAAAUUGAUACACGAGGAAGGUGGAAAAGUGGUAUCAGUUCUACCUCACUUUAAGAAGGGUAGUAAGGUGGAUGAUAAGAGUAGUAUAGGAGCUACUCUUAAUGAGCUUGUCGAGCUUCUUCCUGCUUGUUUUUUGAGUAAAGUUUUAAUCUUUUGGUGCCUUAGUCCUAGAAUCAAUUUCUGUUGUGGUCUGACCUUACCAAGGGGUUUUUUAUAAUAAAGUUCGUAUCUUUUUGGUAAAUGUUUGAGACACAGAAGAUAAAAUAAAUCGUGAAGACAUUCUUUUGUC